rnacentral:rRNA from 1 species
UACGGGGGGGCAAGCGUUGUUCGGAAUUACUGGCGUAAGGGCUCGUAGGUGGCCAACUAAGUCAGACGUGAAAUCCCUCGGCUUAACCGGGGAACUGCGUCUGAUACUGGAUGGCUUGAGGUUGGGAGAGGGAUGCGGAAUUCCAGGUGUAGCGGUGAAAUGCGUAGAUAUCUGGAGGAACACCGGUGGCGAAGGCGGCAUCCUGGACCAAUUCUGACGCUGAGGAGCGAAAGCCAGGGGAGCAAACGGG